GCACCUACCGAUUGAAUGGUUCGGUGAAAAUCUCGGACUUCGGCUUGGAUGCCUUCGGGCAACCAAGCUGUGGAAAGUUGUUUAAACCUCAUCAUUUAGAGGAAGGUGAAGUCGUAACAAGGUUUCCGUAGGUGAACCUGCAGAAGGAUCAAGAUCGGAAUGGUACACGA
rnacentral:misc_RNA from 1 species